rnacentral:misc_RNA from 1 species
GUAGGUGAACCUGCGGAAGGAUCAUUAGUAAAAUGAGGCUGAGCCGCUAGGCGAGGCUGGAGAGGGCUUGCCCUCUUUGAAGCAGACACCCGCGAGGGUGGCUGUAGAGACAGUGAUUAUUGCGACUGAAAACCAAGCAUAUAACUUUUAACAAUGGAUCUCUUGGCUCCUGCAUCGAUGAAGAACGCAGCAUCUGACUGACUGAACUGUAU